rnacentral:rRNA from 1 species
GACGAACGCUGGCGGCGUGCUUAACACAUGCAAGUCGAACGGAAAGGCCCUGCUUUUGUGGGGUGCUCGAGUGGCGAACGGGUGAGUAACACGUGAGUAACCUGCCCUUGACUUUGGGAUAACUUCAGGAAACUGGGGCUAAUACCGGAUAGGAGCUCCUGCUGCAUGGUGGGGGUUGGAAAGUUUCGGCGGUUGGGGAUGGACUCGCGGCUUAUCAGCUUGUUGGUGGGGUAGUGGCUUACCAAGGCUUUGACGGGUAGCCGGCCUGAGAGGGUGACCGGCCACAUUGGGACUGAGAUACGGCCCAGACCCCUCCGGGAGGCAGCAGUGGGGAAUAUUGCACAAUGGGCGGAAGCCUGAUGCAGCAACGCCGCGGGCGGGAUGACGGCCUUCGGGUUGUAAACCGCUUUCGCCUGUGACGAAGCGUGAGUGACGGUAAUGGGAAAAGAAGCACCGGCUAACUACGU